AGAGUUUGAUCCUGGCUCAGAACGAACGCUGGCGGCAGGCUUAACACAUGCAAGUCGAGCGCCCCGCAAGGGGAGCGGCAGACGGGUGAGUAACGCGUGGGAAUCUACCCAUCUCUACGGAAUAACGCAUGGAAACGUGUGCUAAUACCGUAUACGUCCUUCGGGAGAAAGAUUUAUCGGAGAUGGAUGAGCCCGCGUUGGAUUAGCUAGUUGGUGGGGUAAAGGCCUACCAAGGCGACGAUCCAUAGCUGGUCUGAGAGGAUGAUCAGCCACACUGGGACUGAGACACGGCCCAGACUCCUACGGGAGGCAGCAGUGGGGAAUAUUGGACAAUGGGCGCAAGCCUGAUCCAGCCAUGCCGCGUGAGUGAUGAAGGCCCUAGGGUUGUAAAGCUCUUUCACCGGUGAAGAUAAUGACGGUAACCGGAGAAGAAGCCCCGGCUAACUUCGUGCCAGCAGCCGCGGUAAUACGAAGGGGGCUAGCGUUGUUCGGAUUUACUGGGCGUAAAGCGCACGUAGGCGGACUAUUAAGUCAGGGGUGAAAUCCCGGGGCUCAACCCCGGAACUG
rnacentral:rRNA from 1 species